rnacentral:tRNA from 1 species
GGGCUCGUAGCGCAGUGGCAAAAGGCGUUUGAGCCCCACGACCAACGCAAGUGGGGGCGCGAGCGUAAUUCGCUAAAGCGCGCCUGCUUUGCAAGCAGGAGGUCGUGGGUUCAAAUCCCACCGAGUCCA